AAUUUCGGACAAUGGGCGAAACCCUGAUCCAGCCAUCCCGCGUGUAGGAUGGAGGUCUUCGGGUUGUAAAGUACUUCUGUCAGAGAAGAAAAGGUAUUCGUUAAUACGGGAUACUGCUGACGGUAUCUGCAGAAUAAGCUCCGGCUCACUACGUGUCAGUCGCCGCGGUAAUACGAAGGGUGCAAGCGUUAAUCGGAAUUACGGGGCGUAAAGCGUGUGUAGGCGGUUCGGAAAGAAUGAUGUGACAUCCCAGGGCUCAAACUUGGAACUGCAUUUUUAAAUGCCGGGCUAGAGUAUGUCAGAGGGGGGUAGAAUUCCACGUGUAGCAGUGGAAUGCGUAGAUAUGUGGAGGGAUACCGAUGGCGAAGGCAGCCCCCUGGGAUAAUACUGACGCUCUGACACGAAGGCGUGGGGAGCAAACAGG
rnacentral:rRNA from 1 species